rnacentral:rRNA from 1 species
UACGGAGGGUGCGAGCGUUGUCCGGAAUCAUUGGGCGUAAAGCGCGCGUAGGCGGCCCUGUAAGUCCGUUGUGAAAGUCAAAGGCUCAACCUUUGAAAGCCGAUGGAUACUGCAGGGCUAGAGUCCGGAAGAGGCGAGUGGAAUUCCUGGUGUAGCGGUGGAAUGCGCAGAUAUCAGGAGGAACACCAAUAGCGAAGGCAGCUCGCUGGGACGGUACUGACGCUAAGGCGCGAAAGCGUGGGGAGCGAACAGG